ACUGCUCCUAGAGACAAUGAAUAUGUGGCUUCUGUGUCACAUGUGCAUUUGUAGGUGUCAGAGAGGAGAAAGACUAUGUCUAUUCUUAGUGUUCUGACCUGUGAACAUCUGAAUGAGUUAGUAGCCUAACAUU